rnacentral:lncRNA from 1 species
UCUCACACUCAGCAGAAAAAAACAAAAAUCCUCACCCACCACUCACAGCUCACUCACAUCUCCCUCGACUUAAAUUCCUCACAAAACCUUCAUUCUCUCGACUCUCACUCACAAAAAUCUCUCACAAAAAUACUCACAGAAAAUCUCUCUUCACUUUCUCAAACCCUCACAAGAAAAACCCUUUCCUCAUUCUCUCUUCCCUCUCUGCGAAAAUCCCUUCAUCUCCCUUCCACCCAAACAAAACCCUCGCCGCCACGGAUUCGUCACCGCGAGAACCACCGAAAAUCUCCUUCCACAACCCACACCUUCCAAUCAAAAACAAAUC